rnacentral:rRNA from 1 species
AGAGUUUGAUCCUGGCUCAGGACGAACGCUGGCGGCGUGCCUAAUACAUGCAAGUCGAACGCUUCUUUCUUAUCGAACUUCGGUUCACCAAGAAAGAGGAGUGGCGGACGGGUGAGUAACACGUGGGUAACCUGCCCUUUAGCGGGGGAUAACACUUGGAAACAGGUGCUAAUACCGCAUAAUCUUUUUCCUCGCAUGAGAGAAAAGUGAAAGACGCUUUUGCGUCACUAAAGGAUGGACCCGCGCUGCAUUAGCUAGUUGGUGAGGUAACGGCUCACCAAGGCCACGAUGCAUAGCCGACCUGAGAGGGUGAUCGGCCACACUGGGACUGAGACACGGCCCAGACUCCUACGGGAGGCAGCAGUAGGGAAUCUUCGGCAAUGGACGAAAGUCUGACCGAGCAACGCCGCGUGAGUGAAGAAGGUUUUCGGAUCGUAAAACUCUGUUGUUAGAGAAGAACAAGGAUGAGAGUAGAAUGUUCAUCCCUUGACGGUAUCUAACCAGAAAGCCACGGCUAACUACGUGCCAGCAGCCGCGGUAAUACGUAGGUGGCAAGCGUUGUCCGGAUUUAUUGGGCGUAAAGCGAGCGCAGGCGGUUUAUUAAGUCUGAUGUGAAAGCCCCCGGCUUAACCGGGGAGGGUCAUUGGAAACUGGUAGACUUGAGUGCAGAAGAGGAGAGUGGAAUUCCAUGUGUAGCGGUGAAAUGCGUAGAUAUAUGGAGGAACACCAGUGGCGAAGGCGACUCUCUGGUCUGUAACUGACGCUGAGGCUCGAAAGCGUGGGGAGCGAACAGGAUUAGAUACCCUGGUAGUCCACGCCGUAAACGAUGAGUGCUAAGUGUUGGAGGGUUUCCGCCCUUC